rnacentral:lncRNA from 1 species
CAACAACCGAUCCGGUUGCCGCCCUCGCCGGCGGAGUGACCGGCGGCACGUCCGGUGCCCUCCCGAAGCAGCCGCCAAAAUCCGCGUCGGUCUCCGUCGCCUCCUCGGGAGCACCUUCCACAGCGCUCCCACCGAGAGGAGGAGGGGCGGCUGCGGCGUGACACCCAUCAGUCCCGACGGUCAUCUCCCUCCCAGCUGGAACGAGCGAGGAAGGAGAAGCGGC